UACGUAGGUGGCAAGCGUUGUCCGGAAUUAUUGGCGUAAAGCGCGCGCAGGCGGUUCUUAAGUCUGAUGUGAAAGCCCACGGCUCAACCGUGGAGGGUCAUUGGAAACUGGGGGAACUUGAGUGCAGAGAGAAGAGUGGAAUUCCACGUGUAGCGGUGAAAUGCGUAGAGAUGUGGAGGAACACCAGUGGCGAAGGCGACUCUUUGGCCUGUAACUGACACUGAGGCGCGAAAGCGUGGGGAGC
rnacentral:rRNA from 1 species